rnacentral:other from 2 species
AAGGCCCUGCUAUGUGCGUGUAAGAAGAGAACUUUUUUAAAACCUACAAACAUCGUAUCGGGAACUUUUAUUUGCGGGCCAUUGCAUUGGGUCAGCAAUGAGUACCCACCUUGAGAAAGGGUUAACGAAAAAAUUCUUCUCACGGCAACGGUGGAGCCUUU